rnacentral:rRNA from 1 species
AGUCGAACGGAUCCUUCGGGAUUAGUGGCAGACGGGUGAGUAACGCGUGGGAAGCUACCUUGUGGUAGGGGACAACAGUUGGAAACGACUGCUAAUACCCUAUGAGCCCUAUGGGGGAAAGAUUUAUCGCCAUGAGAUGUGCCCGCGUUAGAUUAGCUAGUUGGUAAGGUAAUGGCUUACCAAGGCGACGAUCUAUAGCUGGUCUGAGAGGAUGAUCAGCCACACUGGGACUGAGACACGGCCCAGACUCCUACGGGAGGCAGCAGUGGGGAAUAUUGGACAAUGGGGGCAACCCUGAUCCAGCCAUGCCGCGUGUGUGAUGACGGCCUUAGGGUUGUAAAGCACUUUCAGCAGUGAAGAUAAUGACAUUAACUGCAGAAGAAGCCCCGGCUAACUUCGUGCCAGCAGCCGCGGUAAUACGAAGGGGGCUAGCGUUGUUCGGAAUCACUGGGCGUAAAGAGUACGUAGGCGGACUGAUAAGUUAGGGGUGAAAUCCCAAGGCUCAACCUUGGAACUGCCUUUGAUACUGUCAGUCUUGAGAUCGAGAGAGGUGAGUGGAACUCCGAGUGUAGAGGUGAAAUUCGUAGAUAUUCGGAAGAACACCAGUGGCGAAGGCGGCUCACUGGCUC